GACUCUCGGCAACGGAUAUCUCGGCUCUCGCAUCGAUGAAGAACGUAGCGAAAUGCGAUACCUGGUGUGAAUUGCAGAAUCCCGCGAACCAUCGAGUCUUUGAACGCAAGUUGCGCCCGAGGCCACUCGGCCGAGGGCACGCUCGCCUGGGCGUCA
rnacentral:rRNA from 1 species